UGUUUCUCCAUCUGUUUAAAAAGUGUCAUUGGAAUUUGGAUCGGAAGUGCAUUGUAUCUAUAGAUGGCUUUUGAUAGAAUGGACAAUUUUACAAUGUUGUCUUCCUAUCCACGAGCAAGAUAUGUUUUUCCAAUUACGUAGGUCCCUUUUGUUUUUUUUGCAGUAGUACCUUGUAGUUUUCUUGGUAUAGCUCUUUUACAUUUUUGGUAAGGUUUAUUCCUAAGUAUUUUAUCUUCUUGGGGGCUGCUGUGAAUGGUAUUCAUUUGAUGAUUUCCUCUUCAAUGUUCUUUUUGUUGAUAUAGAGGAAUCCAACUGAUUUUGUGUGUUUGUAUUGUAAUCUGAAACUUUGCUGAACCCUUCUAUUAGUUUUCUUGAGGAUUCCUCAGGGUUUUCUGUGUAUAAGAUAAUGUCUUUGGAAAUAGAGAUAAUUUUAUUUCUUCCUUACCAAUCUGGAUGCCCUUUAUUUCUUUGUCUAGCCCAGUUGCUCUGGCUAGGACCUCUAGCACAAUGCUGAAUAAGAGCAGUGAUAAAGGGGAUCCUUGUCUGUUUCCCGUUCUCAAGGGAAAUGCUUUCAGGCUCUCUCCAUUUAGGAUGAUGCUGGGUAUUGGCUUUGUAUCAAUACCCGUUAUUAUGUUGAGGAAUUUUCCUUCUAUUCCUAUUUUGCUGAGAGUUUUUAUCAUGAGUGGGUGUUGGACUUUGUCAAAUGCCUUUUCUGUAUCAAUUGAUAAAAUUAUGUGGUUCUUGUCCUUUUUUUAUGUGGUGGAUUACAUUAAUUGUUUUUCUAAUAUUGAACCAACCUUGCAUACCUGGUAUAAAUCCUACUUGGUUAUGGUGGAUUAUUUUUUUGAUAUGUUGUUGAAUUCUACUGGCUCGAAUUUUGUUGAGGAUUUUUGCAUCUAUGUUCAUGAGGGAUAUAGGUCUGUAAUUUUCUUUUUUUGUGUUGUCUUUAGCUGGUUUUGGUAUCAGGGUUAUGCUGGCUUCAUAGAAGGAGUUAGGUAGUAUUCCGUCCUUUUCUAUGCUUUGAAAUACCUUCAGUAGUAGUGGUAAGUCUUCCCUGAAAGUUUGGUAGAACUUUGCAGUGAAGCCAUCAGGGCCAGGGCUUUUUUUUUGUUGGGAGUGUUUUGAUUACCUUUUCAAUCUCUUUUUUUGUUAUGGGUCUAUUUAGUUGUUCUACUUCAGUUUGUGUUAGUUUAGGUAGGUAGUGUGUUUCUAGAAAUUCAUCCAUUUUUUCUAGGUUUUCAAAUUUGUUAGAAUACAAUUUUUUGUAGUAAUCUGAUAUGAUUGUUUUAAUUUCAGUUGGAUCUGUUGUGAUAUGGCCCAUCCCAUUUCUUAUUCAGAUUAUUGGUUUCUUUUCCUGUAUUUCUUUAGUCAGUCUGGCCAAUGGUUUAUCAAUUUUGUUAAUUUUUUCAAAGAAGCAGUUUUUGUCCUUGUUAACUCUUUCAAUUGUUUUUCUAUUCUCUAAUUCAUUUAAUUUUGCUGUAGUUUUUAUUUUUUGCUUUCUUUUGGUGCCUGACAGUUCCUUUUGUUGCUCUCUUUCUGUUUGUUCAAGUUGUAGGGAGAGUUCUUUCAUUUUGGCUCUUCUUUAAUAUGUGUGCCUUUAUUGAUAUAAAUUGACCUCUGAGCACUGCUUUCACCAUGUCCCAAAGGUUUUCAUAGGAAGUGUUUUCAGUCUUGUUGAAUUCUGUGAAUUUCUUUAUUCCCUCCUUAAGGUCUUCCAUAACCCAGUCUUUUUUGAGCAGGGUAUUGUGCAGUUUCCAAGCAUUUGAUUUCUUUUCCCUGGUUUUUCUGUUAUUGAUUUUUACUUUUAUGGUCUUUCAUUCAGAGAAGAUGUUUUGUAAUAUUUCAAUGUUUUGGGUUCUGCAAAGGCUUGUUUUAUGACCUAAUAUGUGAUCUAUUCUAGAGAAUGUUUCAUGUGCACUAGAAAAGAAAUUAUAGUUUGCAGCUGUUGUGUGGAGUGUUCUGUAUAAGUCUAUGAAGUGAAGUUGUUUAAUUGUAGGAAUUAGAUCUUCCGUGUCUCUAUUGAGCUUCUUACUGCAUUUCCUAUCCUUCACCGAGAGUGUUGUGUUGAAGUCUCCUGCUAUAAUUGUGGAGGUGUCUAUCUCACUUUUUAAUUCUGUUAACAUUUGUUUUAUGAAUGUUGCGGCCCUAUCAUCAUUGGGUGCAUAAAUAUUUAAUACAGUUAUAUGUACCUGGUAAAUUGUCCCUUUAAUCUUUAUGUAGUGUCCUUCUUUAUCCUUUGUGGUGGAUUUAAAUUGAAACUCUAUUUUGUUGGAAAUUAAUAUUGCCUCUCCUGCUCUUUUUUGAUUGUUGUUUGCUUGAUAUAUUUUUAUCCAUCCUUUCAGUUUUGGUUUAUUUGUGUCUCUUAACUCUAAAGCGUGUCUCUUUUAGGAAGCAUACAGACUGAUCGUGUUUUUUUAUCCAGUCUGCAACUUUCUGUCUCUUUAUUGGUGAAUUUAGUCCAUUUACAUUAAGUGUAAUUAUAGACAAGUAUGAGUUUAGUGCUGUCAUUUUGAUGCCUGUUUUUGACAAUUUCAUUUUCCAUUUACUUUUUUGUGCUGAGUUUUUCUUUGUAGAAUGUGUGUUCCUCCUUUUUAUAGUAGUUGAAUUUAUUUUGGUGAGUCGUUAUGUUUAUCUUGGUUUUUAUUUUGAAGUAUGGAAUUGUUAGACCUUGUUGUGGUUAUCUUAAUAUUUACCCUGGUUUGAGUAAGUAAAAACCUAAGUUGUUUCGCCCUGUAUCGCCUUGGUUUCCUCUCCAUAUGUAAUUUCUAAGCCUCCUGUAUUUAGUCCCUCUUUUUUCACUAUCGUAAUCUUUUACAUAAUCACAUCAAUGAUUCCCUGUUUUGAGCAAUUUUUUAAUUAAUCUUAUUUUGUUUUUGUGAUUUCCCUAUCUGGGUUGAUAUCAGGAUGUUUUGUUCUGUGACCUUGUGUUGUGUUGGUAUCUGAUAUUAUUGAUUUUCUGACCAAAGAAUUUCCUUUAGUAAUUCUUGCAGUUUUGGUUUGGUUUUUGCAAAUUCUCUAAGCUUGUGUUUAUCUGUAAAUAUCUUAAUUUCACCUUCAUGUUUUAGAAUUUUGCUGGAUAUAUGAUUGUUCGCUGACAGUUUUUCCUCUUUCAGUGCUCUAUAUAUGUUAUCCCAUUGUCUUCUUGCCUGCAUGAUUUCUGCCGAGUAGUGCAAACUUAUUGAUUCUCCUUUGUAGGUAACUUUUCGUUUAUCCUUGGGUGCUUUUGAAAUUUCUCUUUAUCUUAGGUUUUGGCAGGUUUGAUGAUAUGUCUUGGUGAUUUUCUUUUGGGAUCUAUUUUGUAUGAGGUUCGAUGAGCAUCUUGGGUAGAUAUCUUUUCAUCUUUUACAAUGCCAGGGAAUUUUUCUGCCAUCAGAUCUUCCACUGUUCUCUCUGUAUUUUCUGUUAUCCCUCCCUGUUCUGGAACUCGAAUCACACGCAAAUUAUUCUUGAUAGAGUCCCCCAUGAUUCUUAGGGUUUCUUCAUAGUUUUAAAUUCUAUUUGAUUUUUCUUCAACUAUAUUUGUGUCAAUUGCCUUAUCCUCCAGCUCCCCCACUCUGCAUUCCAGUUCCUUGAUUCUGCUCCUGUGACUUCCUAUUGAGUUGUCUGAAUCUGUGACUUUAUUGUUAAUCUUUUGGAUUUCUGAAUGCUGUCUCUCUAUGGAUUCUUACAGCUUAUUAAUUUUUUCACUAUGUUGUCGAAUAAUCUUUUGGAUAUCUUCAACUGCUUUAUCCGCGUAUUCCUUGGUGUUUUCUGUAGAUUGCCUUAUUUCAUUUGUGAGGUCAUUCCUGAUGUCUUGAAGCAUUCUGUAUAUAAUUUUUUUAUAUUCUACAUUUGGCAAUUCUAGGAAUGUAUCUACAUCUGGGAAUGAUUUUGAUUCUUUGAUUUGGGGGUUUGUAGAAGGAAUCAUGGUCUGCUUCUUCAUGUGAUUUGAUGUCGACUGCUGUCUCUGAGCCAUUUAUAAGAUAUUGUAAUAUUUUAUAUUUGCUCACUGAGUCUUAUCUUCUUAUUUUGUUUUGUUACAAUACACCCAGAUGGGCUACUAGAUUGUGGUAUCGUGAUUGAUGUAGCUUUUGAAUCACUUACGUCCUGUUACCAGCUUGCCUGAGCUGUUACCAGGUAUAUAAGUGUAUGAGUCCAUUCACUAUUCUUGAAUACAAUCAGCUCAGGUGUCCUGAUAGCUGGUCACCUAGUGUGUGGUGUAGGCUCUCACCUAUUAUCUUAGAGGAGUAGUGGUGAUGGUUGUAUGCACCAGUUUCUAUUAGUGGCAGGGGGUCACAUUUCGAGGAGGGCAGGAUGCUGACAGCCUUCCUUCAAGUGUCAGUGAGGUAGGUGUGGCUCUAUUCUCUAGAGCACUCUGGUGGGUGGGCUUUGCAGCUGUAUCUUAGGCACCCAAUGCUUGGGUAGGCGUCACUAUUCUCAGACCCCUCUAGCAGGUGGCUAGGUGAUGUGGGUGGAGUCUCAGCCCUCAGUUCGCUGGUGUGGAUCAGCGAGGGCUCUGUUUAAUAGGUAGAGAGGUAUCUGACCUCCAAAACUUGCCUUUCCACUGCUGAGCUAAAACAAUUAUGGUCAGAUCUCUAUCAGAAUUGCCUUUACAUUGUAAUAGCCACCUAGUUACCUGUAGGGUGAAAGCCAAAGACUAUGGGUCUGUUAAUGCCUGGAUGGAGCUGAUUCUGUACUGUUAUUUCAGUUUAGGGAAGUCAGGGAAGGAUUUUUUCUUUGAUUGUUAAAUGCUGCUUUUCUCAGGCCAGGAGAAUGGGUUAGAAAAGAAAGAAGAAAAAAAAUUCAGCAGUGCACUUCACUCUCUGGCACAGAGGAUUCCAAUGUUAAUGAAGCUGGCUGGGGCAAUGAGGGGUGGAAUCAGAUAUAUAGAAGAGAGUAGCCUGGCAAAAUAUACAAAGUUACUUAUGUUGUUUGGUGAGAACUGUUUUUUCUGAGAUUCCAGAGCAUUGUGUCGCUCGUGUGUGCUGGCUGGAUCCCUGCUGAGACUGUCCCAGAGGGUUAGGGCUGCAUCCAUGCUCACACUGUCUCAGGAAGCCACAAUCGGCUCCCCCACACUUAGUCCAAAGCCCAGCACCAAGGUUUCCUUUCUGGGACGCUGCACUCCAGGCUCCAAAACCAGUCGCUGCUUCCCUAUAGUUUUUCGUUUCCCUGUCAGCCGCGUCUGUGUGGAGCCUGCGUGUGCUGCCUGGGUCCCCUCUGAGGUUGGUCCUGAGGGUUAGGCCUAUAUCUGUUCUUCCCUGUCUCAGUAAACCACAAUCAGCCCCACCACUCUGACACCAGGAAACCGCGAGGGCUCAAGGCUACGGCGUGGGACACUGGCUCUGGAAGCGGUCCCUGCUGCAGCGUGGCUUUCGCUCCCCCGUCACUCAGGUCAACUCCUUAGUUCUGUGUUUGAUGGUCAGGGUUUGUAGAUUGUCCUUUAUGUAAUCAGUUCACUUGUUUUUUCGAGUCUUUGUUUCAAGAAGUAUAAGCGGAAUCUUCUACCUAGUCAGCCAUCUUGGUCCUGCCCCCGUGUCUGCCUCUUUAUGUGAUUUGAUAUUGACUGUUGUCUCUGAGCAAUCUAUAAGUUAUUGUAUUAGUUUAUUUUAUGCUUGCUUUUUGUAUCCUAGCUUCUUGCUUUGUUUAGUUUUGGUAUUCCCAAAUAAGCUGCUUGAGUGUGCUAGGUUGAUUAUUUUCACCUUUGAAGCUCUAAUGUACUAUCACCAGAUGGCUAGCACUGUUACCAGGUAUAUGAGCCUAGGAGUUCAUUUACUUUUCUUGUAUGCAUUCAACUCAGGUGCCCAGGUAGUUGGUCAUAAAGUGUGUGGUACAGGCUCUGUCCUACCGUCUUAGAGGGGCAGGGGUUAUUGGUGUAGGCAGAAGUAUCUGGCUGCAGUAGGGGGUCAGGCUCUGAUCAAGGCAGGGGUCUGACAGCUGUCCUCUGAGUGUCUGUGAGGAAAGUGCAUCCCUGUUCUGUAGAGCACACGGGUGGGUUCUGCAGAAGGGCGAUGGGUACCCAAUGCUUUUGGUUGUAAGUUCUGGGAGGUACUACUUACCCUUGGAGCCCUGUCACAGGAGGCUAGGUAUUGUGGGUGGAGCCACCAGUCCUUAGGCCCCUGAUGUGGGUAGGUGAAGACGCCGUUUAAUAGGCAAAGCAGUGUCAAACAUCAAACACCCAUCUUUCCACCGUUCAGCUGAAACAGUUGCAGUCUGGCGACAAGGGCCUAUUCUCCUGAAAUGGGCCCACACAGGUCCAUGCUGGGGUGAAAGGUAUUCAAAGCCCAUGGACUGUUUGUGCCUGAACAAGAGCUGCUUCUGUCCUGAGCUCCCCAGCUUAAUUGAGCUGGCAGAUUAUCUUUCCCCCAGUUGUGAACUUAUACCUUCUUCAAGGAUGGAAAAAUGGCUCAGAGUGGUACCAGGGCCUAUCUCAGGCCCAGGGAAGUUGACAGCCACUGAAGCCGGCUUGGGGGCUGGGGGCGUGGUAAAAUAAACACAAGUAAUUAGCUUUUGCUGAGAGUGCCGUUCUUCUCUUGUUCUGGAGGUGUGAGUAGUCUGUGCAACUUGCUGUCCUUCCCUGAGCUAAACGCCUCUGGAACACUACUGCCAGCCCCGCUGCAGUCGCUCCAGGGAACGGUGCCUGAGGGUUCCUGGCUGUUCAGGUCCAGUAACUCCUCUCCACUUCUGAAUAGUCUCUCCCUCCCCCUGCCGCUGAGUCCAUUUUCUAACUUUACCUUUGAUGUUCAGGGCUCCUAGCUUGUCAUAAAUAUAAUCGCUUCACUUGUUUUUUCUGGUCUUUUUUGUAAGAGGGAUCACUGGUGGCGUCUCAAUACUCAAAACUUCAUCAUUUCUUCCUUUCACUUUAGCUACUCGACAUUCAAGAGCAACGUUCAGAGUCUCUUCCGACAUCCGUUUUGGUCUUUUCUUUCUUUCCUGUCUUUUAAAGGAUCUCUUGCUUUCCUCAUGUGUGAUGUCCUUGAUGUCAUUCCACAACUCGUCUGGUCUUCAGUCGUUAGUGUUCAACACGUAAAAUGUGUUCUUGAGGUGGUCUCUAAAUACAGGUGAGAUAUACUCAAGGUCAUAUUUUGGCCCCUUUUGACUUAUUCUAAUUUUCUUCCGUUUCAACUUGAACUCCCAUAUGAGCAAUUGACAGUCUGUUUCACAAUCGAUCCCUGGCCUUGUUCUGACUGAUGAUAUGAGUUUUCCCAUCUUCUCUUUCCACAGAUGUAGUCAGUUUGAUUCCUGUGUAUUCCAUCUGGUAAAGUCCACGUGUAUAGCUGCCGUUUAUGUUGGUGAAAAAAAAUAUUUGCAGUGGAUGAGUCACUGGUCUUGCAAAAUUCUUUCAUGAGAUUUCUGGCGUCAUUUAUUUCAGCGAUGCUGUAUUUUCCAACUACUUUUCCUUCUUUGUUUCCAACUUUAACAUUCUAAUGACCAGUAAUUAUCAAUGCAUCUUGAUUGCAUCUUUGAUCAAUUUCAGGCUGCAGAAGUUGUUUAAAAUCUUCAAUUUCUUUAUCUUUGGCAUUAGUGGUUGGUGCAUACAUUUGAAUAGUCAUAUAAACUAGUCUUCCUUGUAAGUGUAUGGAUUUUAGCCUAUCAGUGACAACAUUGUACUUCAGGCUAGAUCUUGAAAUGUUCUCUUUGAUGAUAUGUAACGUCAUUCUUUUGACUCUGGUGGAAUAUCCAUGUUUGUAAGACUGCUCACAGACUGUUUUACCAGAGAGUUUUCUGGUACUGCAACAUCUACCACUAAUCUCUGUGAUCCCUUUGAAUUGGCAAAAUAAGAAUAGUGCUAUAGAUUUCUUCCAAAUACAGAAAACAUAAGUAUGAAAAUGUUCUUGCUGUUGAUUAUAUUCUUUACCAAUCUGUUUGUAUGGGAUUUUUGGUACUUCACUUGAAAAAUGAGUCCAAGGUACUGUGAUGUGAUUGUUUACUUUGUGUGGCCUUUCUAGCCAUGGUCUUAUAACAUCCACCCUGGUGCUUGGGCAGGACUGUGUGAUAGGGUAAUUGUGGCUCACCAAGAGGAUUGUUUAUUUUGCCUUCAAAGAGAACCAGUUCCAGAGCAAAGAGGAGGAUUCAACUCCCAUCAAGGAAGAACAGCCAAGAGCCGAGCGUAUAUUAUGGACCUGAGAUCCCUGCACUGAGAAGCUCCUAGAAGCAGGAGACUGAGAUAGAGAGAGGAAGCUGUAACCCUGAAGAUGCUUAAAUACAGACCAGAAGAGGAGUUUGGGGCUUGACACCUGACAUCUUAACACCAGUUCCUGUUUCUUGAGGAAGGAAGAGGUAAAAUAAAUCAGCGUUUGCUGUUUCCUUCUCCAUCCCCGGAAGUCCUGAUGAAGACCCUCUCAGGUAAGGAUUGACAGGGAGUGGCUUGGUUUACUAUUCAACUUUGUCCUUCAGUAACUUUGUUUAUGUCCUGCAUGUAAACUGUUGUGCAUUGAGAAGCAUUCUAAUUCUUGUGCAGAAGGACUAGACCUCCUGCAGAAUGACUAUAUUGUGCCUCCCUCGGGCACCCCUGUCUGCGCAGCACCCCCCAACGCCAACUGCCCAACCGCCUCUCUCCUGGCAUUCUGCUUCUAGAAGCAUGUUCUUUUGAUGCAGAGAUGCAGCACACACAGAAUCCCAGCUGGAUUACAGACUUGAACCUGAAGACCUUAUGCAGAAUGACAAUUUAUGAACCACUAAGCUCAGUACUAAAGCAGCUUAAAUACAGACCAGAAGAGGAGUUUGGGGCUUGACACCUGACAUCUUAACACCAGUUCCUGUUUCUUGAGGAAGGAAGAGGUAAAAUAAAUCAGCAUUUACUGUGUCCUUCUCCAUCCCCGGAAGUCUUCAUGAAGACCCUCUCAGCUUCUACUUGAACGUGAAUAUGAGCAACUGAUCAUCUGUUCUGCAGUCAGCCCCUGGCCUGAUUCUGACUCAUGGUAUUGACCUUCUCCAUCAUCACCUUCCACAAAUUUGAUUCCUAUCUAUUCUGCCUGGAAUGGUUCACGAGUAUAGUCACCAUUUAUGUUCCUGACGAAAGCAGGUGAAGGCAUUCGUGCAGAGAGGCGAUUUCCAUGCGUGCAGCAAAGUGUGUGCUGAGAUGAUGAGUCGCUGGAGACCAGGGUGGACUCUUCAGACCCAGGAUAGGCCUCUGGCAGGCACUCUAUCAGGCACUCCAAGCUGGGAAGUGACUCAGGGAGAGAAGGAAGAGAUUUCAGAGAAUGAACACAUAUAGAGAGAGAGGCAAGAGAUGCUGAGUGAGGAUGUCUUGCGUACUGAUAUCCUGAGGAAAGUGGGAAAAUUGGACCCUGGCCUGCUCUGCCAAUGCCGUGAAGCAGUCCGCACCAGGGGCUCCCUUGUGCCUGCGUAGCCUUUCCCAGGGUGUGCUCAAAUCCUGUGACCACUAGGUGUCCUAGGUCACAAUGGAGGACCCUGUGUCAUCUGCCUGGCGGACUGGAUCUCUGCCAUUGGCUGAGUCUUGUCACCAGGCCCAUCAUAAGCUCUGCCCACUCUUCCGGUGGGGAGACUCUUUCCAUGGUGAUGGCAAAGAAACCUUAGUCCCGCCCACCUGGCCUUGACUUCACCUACCUGGCCUGCUGACCCUCACUCAGACCUCUGUGUCGAUCAAAAUGAAUGUUCACCAGUGGCCCGGUGUCAGCAUCUGGUAUAAAGGAUUCGGGACCUUGCCUGAGGCAGAAGGCAGCCUAGGUCUGCGGGUACCUGGAAGUCUAGUGACUUGUGACGCUGCUGCCAGUGAGAAAUGGUGACUCCCACACUCACAUAUCCCCUGGUGGCAGAAUGAUAGUGAUGGGUGGAGAAACAUCGCUCCGGAGCACUCGCGCAGUGGGGCACCGGCCAGAGGCCAGGGCCAGUAGUGGACGUCGCGGAGCUGAAUGGCGAGCCAGUGAAGGGCCCAAGGAUUUCUCCAAUGAGGCAAAAUGCAGAUCAAGCCAAGGAACAUAAAGAUAAAGCAGCUGAAGAAAUUAAAAAGGUUACUCAAGAACAUAGUUAAAAAUUUAAUAAGCUGCAAGAAACCAUAGAGAGACUGCAAUCAGAGAUUCAGAAGAUUAACAAUAAAAUUACAGAGUUAGAAAACUCAAUAGAAAGUAAGAAGAGCACAACUGAGGAAUUGGAAGGCAGAAUUACUGAGAUUGAAGAUGAAACUCUUGGGACUAAUAUAUUUGAAGAGAAAGCAGAUAAAAGAAAUUUAAAUGAAGAAAUCCAAAGAAUCAUGUGGGACUUUAUCAAGAGAAAUAACUAUGAGUGAUUUCAGUACCAGAACAGGGAGGGCUAACAGAAAAUACAAAGGGAACUGUUGAAGAUUUGUUGGCAGAAAACUUCCAUGAUAUCAUGAAAGAUGCUCAUCGAAUUCCACAUAAGGUAGAUCUCAAAAGAAAGUGACCGAGACACAUAAUAAUCAAACUUGCCAAAAUCAAAUAUAAAGAGAAUUUUAAGAGAGGCUAGGGAUAAAGGAAGUCACCAACAAAGGAGAGUAAAUAAUAAAAAACUUGGACUACUCAGCAGAAAUCAUGCAGGCAAGAAGGCAAAGGGAUGACUUACACAAAAUAUUGAAGGAAAAAAAUUGCCAGCCAGGAAUCAAACCAUAACCCUGGCCCUCUGGCCUUCGGGCCCUCUGGCCUUAGCCCUCUAACUCUAGCCCCUAAGCCCUGAGCCCCAAAGCCCCUAAGACCCUAAGCCCUUAGGUCCUAACCCCCAAGGCCCUAAACUCUAACCCUAACCCAAACCGUAACCCCUAUAGCCUAAACUCUACAACCUAAACACCUACACCCCAAAACACUACACAUCAAAACCCUACACACUAAACCCUAUACUCUAAGCCUCAAACCCUAAACCCAAACCUCAAAUCCCAAACCCUAAACCUAACCGUAAACCCUAAACCCUAACACCUAACCCUAACCCCUAACCACCCUAACCCUAAUGACCCUAACCCUAACCCUCGAACCCUAACCCUCUAACGCUAACAUGAAACCCUAAUCCGAAACCCUAACCCUCUAACUCUAACCUCUAACCCUCUAACCCUAGCCCUAAUCCUAACCCCAACCUCCAAACCUAACCCCAAACCCUAAACCUCAAAUCCCUAGCCCUAAACCUAAGAAUGAGCCUAAGCCUAACCCUAUCACUUAACUCUAAACCCUAAACCAUAACA